rnacentral:misc_RNA from 1 species
AGAGAUAUUGUCUCUAGAUCCAUGUUCGAGUAUAAAGAAUAUAAAGAGUUACUAACAAAAAGUUUUUCAUCUUGUUCAUCUAGAAAUCAUCCUGUGAUUAAAUUAACAAAUUUGCAAGAUGGAAUGUUAUUGUUUACCGAUGCAGGAUUGCAGAAUGAUGAUGGAAGGGCAAGUAUCGGUUUUGUGGCUUUGGAUAGCCUUGGAAACCUGCUUCAUGCCCAUGGAGCCCCA